GAUGAACGCUGGCGGCGCGCCUAACACAUGCAAGUCGAACGGUUAAAGCACCUUUUAGGUGUGUAUAAAGUGGCGAACGGCUGAGUAACACGUGGGCAACCUGCCCUCCUCUUGGGGAUAGCCUCGGGAAACCGAGGAUAAUACCCGAUACUUCAAUGUGGCCGCAUGACGACAUUGAGAAAGCUUUUGCGGAGAAGGAUGGGCCCGCGGCCUGUUAGCUUGUUGGUGGGGUAGAGGCCUACCAAGGCAAUGAUGGGUAGCUGGGUUGAGAGACCGACCAGCCAGAUGGGGACUGAGAAACAGCCCAGACUCCUACGGGAGGCAGCAGUGGGGAAGCUUGCACAAUGGGCGAAAGCCUGAUGCAGCGACGCCGCGGGCGGGACGAAGGCCUUCGGGUUGUAAACCGCUUUCAGCAGGGACGAGGCGAUAAGUGACGGUACCUGCAGAAGAAGCCCCGGCUAACUACGUG
rnacentral:rRNA from 1 species